UACGUAGGCAGCAAGCGUUGUUCGGAAUUACUGGGCGUAAAGAGUGUGUAGGCGGUGCUCUAAGUUCGGUGUGAAAUCUCCCGGCUCAACUGGGGGGGUGCGCCGGAAACUGGGGUGCUGGAGCGCGGGAGAGGAAAGCGGAAUUCCUGGUGUAGCGGUGAAAUGCGUAGAUAUCAGGAGGAACACCGGCGGUGUAGACGGCUUUCUGGACCGUAGCUGACGCUGAGACACGAAAGCGUGGGUAGCAAACAGG
rnacentral:rRNA from 1 species